rnacentral:ncRNA from 1 species
GACAGCUGACAAAGUGCCGAUUGCACAGAAGACAGGCAGAUCGUAAAGACGCCGUGAAAUCAUCCCUGAUGGCUCGGGCCGCGCCCUCCUUGGCGCGGACGCUUU